CCCUUAGAUGUUCUGGGCUGCACGCGCGCUACACUGAUACACUCAACGAGUUCCUGACUUGAAAUAGUCAGGUAAUCAUUUGAGCGUGUAUUGUGAUGGGGAUAGAAUAUUGUAAUUAUUGCUCUUCAACGAGGAAUUUCUAGUAGUCGCUGUUCAUCAGACAGCGACGACUACGUCCCUGCCCUUUGUACACACCGCCCGUCGCUCCUACCGAUUGGGUGAUCCGGUGAAUGAUUCGGACUGAUGUAGUGUUAGCUACUAGUGCUAUAUUAGGAAGUUUUGUAAACCUAGUCACUUGGAGGAAGGAGAAGUCGUAACA
rnacentral:rRNA from 1 species